rnacentral:misc_RNA from 1 species
CCAAACUUGGUCAUUUAGAGGAAGUAAAAGUCGUAACAAGGUCUCCGUUGGUGAACCAGCGGAGGGAUCAUUAGAGGGUCGCAAGGCCUCCCUAAUCUCUUCAACCAACCCGCGUACCACCCGAGGGGGCCCGCAAGGGCUUACUAUACAUACACUGCCUCGGUCGGCGGCCCCAGGGGGGGCCUCUGCCCGCGUCCGGCGCGUGACUGCGCAGGCGCGGGUGCCGGCCGGUGGCCCAAACCAAAACUUACCGUAUAAUACCUAUUGCCUUCUGAAGAAAUGAGAAAUCAUUACAACCUGCAACGAUGGAUCUCUUGGUUCUGGCAUCGAUGAAGAACGCAGC